GGUGGCGUGCCCGAGUGGACUAAGGGAGCGGAUUGCAAAUCCGUUUUUCAUGGGUUCGAAUCCCAUCGCCACCU
rnacentral:tRNA from 1 species